rnacentral:rRNA from 1 species
AUACGUAGGGUGCGAGCGUUGUCCGGAAUUACUGGGCGUAAAGAGCUCGUAGGUGGUUUGUCGCGUCGUCUGUGAAAUUCCGGGGCUUAACUCCGGGCGUGCAGGCGAUACGGGCAUAACUUGAGUACUGUAGGGGAGACUGGAAUUCCUGGUGUAGCGGUGAAAUGCGCAGAUAUCAGGGGGAACACCGGGGGCGAAGGCGGGUCUCUGGGCAGUAACUGACGCUGAGUGGCGAAAGCAUGGGUAGCGAACAGGAUUAGAUACCCUGGUAGUCCAUGCCGUAAACGGUGGGCGCUAGGUGUAGGGGUCUUCCACGACUUCUGUGCCGUAGCUAACGCAUUAAGCGCCCCGCCUGGGGAGUACGGCCGCAAGGCUAAAACUCAAAGGAAUUGACGGGG